ACAAGGGGGAAUUUCGUCCUCAACCAAUCAGCAUCUUUGUUUACAUUUUGACUCUAAACCAAUCAGAAUGCGUAUAACGCGAAUGCUUGUAAACAAGCAAGGUGGUCACUCUCGAGCUUCGUUGCCAUCGGAUGUUUAAUAUUUUCUCAUGAAAUCAAGAAAUGUUGAUUAGAAAGGAAUUAUCCUAAACUUCACCGCGGCGAUUUUUGAUUUAUGGCGUUUUCGCGAAGAUAUCGACGUCAAAACUUUGCCCUGGUUAUAAGCCUAACUAAUACUCCUUCGAAUAGGCUGAAUAGACAAACCUAAACGAAUUGGUCUAAUUAUAGCUGGUUUUAGAAAUAGCUCAAAUUGGCAUAUUUAAAAAUUAACUUACUGUAUUGAUUUACUUCCUGUUCACAAUUAGCGGAAUAAUUUCCGGCGCUGCUAUCACUUCAUAUACUUGGCGUGUUAGCAUAAAACCUUAACGUCAAGAUGGCGAACCCUCAAAUCUGCGCCAGGCAGAAACUUUUAAAAUCAAAUCGAGAACAGUUCGCGUGUUUGUGGUUUCAUCUUGGAUGUCGCUUUCAACAUCGUCGUCAUCGCUGUACUCAUUGCUGUUCUCAGUCUCAUCGCUCGAGUCGUCUACGUCGAAAUCUUGCUCGUCAGAUUCAGGAUUGAAAUCAUGGACUGCUUUGUUUGCUGUCUCUCCGAGUGAUGCGGCCUUCGACUUGACGAAUUCUUUGCAGAUCUCGCACACGCUUAUAUCCGGAAGAUUGCACUCGAUGUGAAACGAAUGCCCACAGCCAUAGAAAAUGCGCCAUAAUGUGCUUUGACGAGUGCACUGAAUGCUAUCACACAAUCUGGAUUUAAGAGAAGGCAUCAAUCUCUUUGGCCUUCUCUUGAAUUCUUUCAGCAGUGUCUGUUUCGUUUGUCCUUGCUCGAAGCAACGAAUGAAAAUUCUCCACAGGGUACUCAUCAAGAGCUACCAGGAAUUGCUGAAUGACUUUGUGCAUUGGGUGAGUGGUUUCAUUCCAAUAUUGGAAGGUAGAGAGAACAAUAAGCAGUGCCUUGUUAUAGUGUCUUCGGUGAAAUACUGUCAUCAUAAUCCAACAGCGAAGCAGUGAUUUGCAAUAGAGUUCGUAGUUGCUGCACUUGAAGACUACUGAGUAAAUGCUGAGGACAAGUGGGAUGUAGUUGUCAAUAAGAUUGAGUAAGGUGAGGAAUUCAAUAUCCUUACAAUUUGGGAAGACUGACAUUAUUGUAUCUCGAAUAAGUGUCCAACCCCCAUACAUGACUUCAAGGAGUAGUGAUAAUCGCCAUGGCUUUGGUUUUUUUGCCAGCUUUGCCUUUGCACCAAAUAAGAAGGAAUAAAGAUCUGCAAAUAUUUUGUGGAAGUUGAGCAAAACACACUCUCGGGAGUUUAGGGAAAUGUGCAGUGGACCAAUUAGUGGGAUCACAUUCUUGCAGAUAGUGGGUAGGGAAGCUGAAGCAGUAUUAUAUACAAGUUGCCGCAUAAAGAAUUGCAUGGGCCAAUCAGCAGGAAACGGAGCUAUAAAAUGCUCGAGGUAAUCUUCCAAACCGUUAGACAGUAUGUGUUUAAAUGCAGUCAGUACAUCAUUGUGGGACUUUAAGGGCAAUUUGAGGCUGUCUACUAGCUUAGUAUUAUCCAUACGUCGCAUUUCUCUAAUUUCUGUCUGUUGGUAAUCGUGAAUUGCCACUCUUUGUUUUUCUGCUUCAGGAUCAAAGUACUUUGCUACUGCCCAGUCUGGCAUGGUACUUGCAUAGGUUUGGGAACAAAUGCUCAUAUUCUCAACUAGGAACUUUUUCAGUAAACUUUCCUCCACUGGAUUGGCAGGUAGUAAGGGUUGCAGGGAAUUGCUACGGACAGCCUUGAUGUUGGGGAAAACUUUUACCAAUAGAGUGGAGGUGUGCACUGCUUGGGUUUGAGUCUUGGCUUCAGUUUGAAAGAAUAAUUUUACUCUAUCAAGGUGGGAAGCUGAAGAGGUCACCUUCGAUAUUAACAGCUGAAGAUUUACAAAGCUCCUCAUAUUCUCCUUUGGAAAUGAAAAUACCUUCAGAUGUCUGGCAUUCAACACUUGCUGUCGUCAGUUUAAAAUCAGCUUUAGAGUCUUGACUUGGGGAAAGCAACGAAACAGUUGACUCGGUGCCUUGACUACUAGAAAACUGAAUAAUGGCAGGACUUGCAGCUUGGUUUUCUUGGUUGUUGGUUAACUGGGUGUUAAGGAUACUUGUGGAUGGCAUCUCAUCAUCUUCUCUAUUGUUGGAUUCAGUUGGCAGAUAAGUAGACAGACCGUCAAGCUAUCAUUAGAGAAUGUAAACUUUAAUAUUACAAUCUUAACCCCAAAUUACAAUAUAAAAAUAUAGGUAGAGAAGAACAGGUAGCUAUUAAAAAAUACUGUGCAAAAUAAUUUGGGUCAAAAUCUUAAUUGCCAAAAUGUUCCAUCUUUGCAAAGAAGUGACAGUUUGUGCUAUCUGGAGUUAUAUGCAAUGCAGUUACGGAGCAAUAAAAGCAAUGCAGUUACAAUUCUGUUUUUUAUUAUUACCUUCCUUGUAAUAUCGUCAGUAGUGAGUUUUUUUGGCAAAUAGCGAGUAAAGUUCCUCUUUUUGAGACACACGCGAAUGCAGUUCUUGCAAAGAUGACUGAUUUCUUUUGUCGUUUUAAUUUGUUUUUCACGAACCAAAAACUGAGCAAGUGCUUUUGCCAACUCGCCCCAACCAAAUCCUUUUAACUUGACCACUCUUGAGCCUUUACACGCUCCUGACCACUCAUGGUGAAGAGGAUUAUUACAAAGUUUCGUAAAUUUCGGCAUUUAAAAGCGAUAACAACAAAGAAAGCUACAGACCUCGAAAGUGUUUAGUGUUUGAAUGAAAAGUUUCCCGCGGGCGGGAAAGGAAAAUGUAAUGAUUGAACCAGUGAGGUUUGAACAUGUUUCGAACAGGGUUUCUUUGCUAUGUCUAUGUAUAGGAGACGUUUAUAAUCAUAGGAUGGUUAACAUUAUUUAAGCUUAUAGCUUUUAAAAUUAAAUUGUAGUCAUUUUAGUAUCCAUAGGCUGAUAGGAAUGGACAGAGAAGCUGUUAAAAUGUCUUCAAACGAUAUUUUCAAAGCGUUUUAUUCUGGUUUUGUUUAUUCGAAGGAGUAUUAGUUAGGCUUAUAACCAGGGCAAAGUUUUGACGUCGAUAUCUUCGCGAAAACGCCAUAAAUCAAAAAUCGCCGCGGUGAAGUUUAGGAUAAUUCCUUUCUAAUCAACAUUUCUUGAUUUCAUGAGAAAAUAUUAAACAUCCGAUGGCAACGAAGCUCGAGAGUGACCACCUUGCUUGUUUACAAGCAUUCGCGUUAUACGCAUUCUGAUUGGUUUAGAGUCAAAAUGUAAACAAAGAUGCUGAUUGGUUGAGGACGAAA